UACGUAGGGGGCAAGCGUUGUCCGGAUUCAUUGGGCGUAAAGAGCGUGUAGGCGGCCAGGUAGGUCGGUUGUGAAAACUGGAGGCUCAACCUUCAGAGGUCGACCGAAACCAUCUGGCUAGAGUCCGGGAGAGGAGAGUGGAAUUCCUGGUGUAGCGGUGAAAUGCGCAGAUAUCAGGAGGAACACCGGUGGCGAAGGCGCCACUCUGGGCCGAAACUGACGCUGAGGAGCGAAAGCAUGGGUAGCAAACAGG
rnacentral:rRNA from 1 species